rnacentral:rRNA from 1 species
UGCCAGCAGCCGCGGUAAUACGGAGGGGGUUAGCGUUGUUCGGAAUUACUGGGCGUAAAGCGCACGUAGGCGGAUUAGUAAGUUAGGGGUGAAAUCCCGGGGCUCAACCCCGGAACUGCCUCUAAUACUGCUAGUCUUGAGUUCGAGAGAGGUGAGUGGAAUUCCGAGUGUAGAGGUGAAAUUCGUAGAUAUUCGGAGGAACACCAGUGGCGAAGGCGGCUCUCUGAGCCGAUAUUGACGCUGAGGCGCGAAGGCGUGGGUAGCGAACGGGAUUAGAUA